CGGGGGAGUAACCUGGGGAAACUCGGGCUAAUACCGCAUACGUUUGCGAGAUCAUGGUCUCGUCAAGAAAGCUGGCCUCUGCUUGCAAGCUAGCACUCCCAGAGGAGCCCGCGGCUGAUUAGCUAGUUGGUGAGGUAAUGGCUCACCAAGGCGACGAUCAGUAGCCGGCCUGAGAGGGUGAUCGGCCACACUGGGACUGAGACACGGCCCAG
rnacentral:rRNA from 1 species